rnacentral:tRNA from 1 species
AAGGGUUUAGCUUAAAAAUUAAAGUAUCUGUUUUGCAUGCAGAUGAUGUGAGUUUGUAGACUCGUAGUCCUUG